rnacentral:ncRNA from 1 species
CCCCGACUUUUGGGAGGGGCGCAUUUAUUAGAUAAAAGGCUGACGUGGGCUCUGCUCGCUGAUCCGAUGAUUCAUGAUAACUCGACGGAUCGCAUGGCCUUUGUGCCGGCGACGUCUCAUUCAAAUUUCUGCCCUAUCAACUUUCGAUGGUAGGAUAGGGGCCUACCAUGGUGGUGACGGGUGACGGAGAAUUAGGGUUCGAUUCCGGAGAGGGAGCCUGAGAAACG